UCAAUAAUGCGGAGGAAAAGAAACCAACAGGGAUUGCCCUAGUAACGGCGAGUGAAGCGGCAACAGCUCAAAUUUGAAAUCUGGCCUCCGGCCCGAGUUGUAAUUUGUAGAGGAUGCUUUUGGUGAGGUGCCUUCCGAGUUCCCUGGAACGGGACGCCAUAGAGGGUGAGAGCCCCGUCUGGUUGGACACCGAGCCUCUGUAAAGCUCCUUCGACGAGUCGAGUAGUUUGGGAAUGCUGCUCUAAAUGGGAGGUAUAUGUCUUCUAAAGCUAAAUACCGGCCAGAGACCGAUAGCGCACAAGUAGAGUGAUCGAAAGAUGAAAAGCACUUUGAAAAGAGGGUUAAACAGUACGUGAAAUUGUUGAAAGGGAAGCGCUUGUGACCAGACUUGGGCUUGGUUAAUCAUCCAGUGUUCUUCACUGGUGCACUUGGCCGGCCCAGGCCAGCAUCAGUUCGGUGCGGGGGAUAAAGGCUUCGGGAAUGUGGCUCCCCCGGGAGUGUUAUAGCCCGUUGCGCAAUACCCUGCGCUGGACUGAGGUUCGCGCAUCUGCAAGGAUGCUGGCGUAAUGGUCAUCAGCGACCCGUCUUGAAACACGGACCAAGGAGUCGUCUUCGUAUGCGAGUGUUCGGGUGUUAAACCCCUACGCGUAAUGAAAGUGAACGCAGGUGAGAGCUUCGGCGCAUCAUCGACCGAUCCUGAUGUUCUCGGAUGGAUUUGAGUAAGAGCAUACGGGGCCGGACCCGAAAGAAGGUGAACUAUGCCUGUAUAGGGUGAAGCCAGAGGAAACUCUGGUGGAGGCUCGCAGCGGUUCUGACGUGCAAAUCGAUCGUCAAAUAUGGGCAUGGGGGCGAAAGACUAAUCGAACCUUCUAGUA
rnacentral:rRNA from 1 species